UACGAAGGGGGCUAGCGUUGCUCGGAAUCACUGGGCGUAAAGCGCACGUAGGCGGAUUGCUAAGUCAGGGGUGAAAUCCUGGAGCUCAACUCCAGAACUGCCUUUGAUACUGGCGGUCUCGAGUCCGGGAGAGGUGAGUGGAACUGCGAGUGUAGAGGUGAAAUUCGUAGAUAUUCGCAAGAACACCAGUGGAGAAGGCGGCUCACUGGCCCCGGUACUGACGCUGAGGUGCGAAAGCGUGGGGAGCAAACAGGG
rnacentral:rRNA from 1 species